CUGUAAUAUAAGAAAACUGUCCCAUUGGACACACACUAGAAAAGUUUGGGCUUAGGUUGUGCUGACCCUGCGCCCACAUGAUGGAACUACAUUGAAUGUGAGAAACCUUUCAAAAUAAGUACAUCGCGCAAAUAGACAAACACGCAAGAAGAAACACUUUUCACUGUAAUGUGCUGGUCAUCACAAUGAGCCAUGAAACUUGGGGGUGGGGGGAAUGAAGUUCUCGCUUUUGCUGAUAGUUUAAUUGCUAAUCUUAGGUAAAAACUGUUAAAUAUACUCAAUGCUGGAAAAUACAUGGAAUGAGUCACAUGAUCAUAUAUUACUGAUAAUCAAGUGGAUUUUCGUUCACUCUUUAGAAGGUCAUUUGAUACUGUGCAUCAAGAAUUAAAUAUAUAUCUCAGGCCUGAGAACUAAUUCAUACAAAUAACUCAAAAGAGCAAGAUACUUUUAAAGAUAUUCAUUACAACAGCACUAGAACACCAGAAAUAAUCUAACUUGCUCUCGUGAACACAUUUAGUUGUCUCCAAUACCUGGAACCAUAAAUAAAGCUUCACUGAAUGUCUUCCGGCACAUACCAUUUUAUAUUUUGUAACUUGUUUACAUAAAGCCCUAAUGGAAAGACUGCUAUUUUUAAAAUUAUUAUAAAAAGAAAAAUUAUCAAAAAUUAUUUUAAAAGAAGUUGAGGUAUACUAUAACUUAAGCAUGUACUUGAAUAUGAGUGAAUGUAGAAAAAUAUUCAUAAGAAAAAUUGUUAUACUGCUCCAACGGGAUAAGUUAUAAUGAAAUUUUCCAUAACCCCUUUAUGUUAUCUUUACAUUAAGAAAAGAAAAAUAGAAUAACGCAUCUUCAAGCACUUACUGAAGUAUAAAUUCCUCUGCCUUCAAGCUCACAUCUCCCGGAUGCCUCCUCCUUCCUACUUAGGCGAACACCUGGUGCCGCUGGUCCCCCCCAUAAUGGCUGGCCAUUCUCUCCCCUUCACUUCCACCGUGGAUAGCAGGGCUGCUCUGCUGGCUGUGACUCAAGCCCGAGACAAUGGGGAGCACACUCUUCACCAGGCAUCACAUCCUUUCUCUCCAUGUCCUGAGCCCUGUGAUCAUCUGGUGUCAAAAAUCG
rnacentral:lncRNA from 1 species